UCACCAGGUCAGGACACGGUAAGGAUUGACGGACUGAAGGCUCUUUCUCGAUUCCGUGGAAAGUGGUGCAUGGCCGUUUUGGUUGGUGGAUCGAUCCGUCUGGUUAAUUCCGUUAACGAACGAGACCUCGGCACUCCGAAUAGCGCGGCGGACGUCGCGGCCUCCGGGCCGUCUUCCGCACGAGCUUCUUAGAGGGACCGUCCCCCCGCCGGGGAAGGAGGUGCGAGGCAACGACAGGUCUGUGAUGCCCUUAGAUGUUCUGGGCCGCACGCGCAUUACGACUGACGCGUCCAACGGGUGACUCCCGACCCGAAGGGGCCGGGGAAUCCGCAAGGCGCGUCGUGAUGGGGAUUGAACGUUGCAAUUGUUGUUCACGAACGAGGAAUUCCUAGUAGGCGCGGGGUCAUCAACCCGCGCCGAUUACGUCCCUGCCCUUUGUACACACCGG
rnacentral:rRNA from 1 species